AAGCCAGUACUUGAUCUAAAAUUAAGUGGGGUGCUAACUGUCAAAGCAGGGGACACCAUUAGACUCGAGGCAGGUGUGAGAGGCAAACCAUUCCCAGAGGUUGCCUGGACCAAAGACAAAGAUGCUACAGAUUUAACAAGAUCACCAAGGGUCAAGAUUGAUACCAGUGCUGAGUCAUCGAAAUUCUCCCUUACCAAAGCGAAGCGAAGUGAUGGCGGUAAAUAUGUAGUCACAGCAACUAACCCAGCUGGCAGUUUUGUGGCCUAUGCGACUGUCAAUGUUUUGGAUAAGCCUGGUCCCGUAAGAAACCUGAAAAUCGCGGAUGUGUCCAGUGAUAGGUGUACUAUCCGCUGGGAUCCACCGGAAGACGACGGCGGCUGUGAAAUCCAAAAUUAUAUUCUAGAGAAAUGCGAGAGCAAGAGAAUGGUCUGGUCUACCUAUUCCGCUAAUGUCCUGACACCAGGUGCUACAGUGACUCGUCUCAUAGAAGGAAAUGAAUAUAUUUUCAGAGUCCGUGCAGAAAACAAAAUAGGCACAGGGCCUCCAACAGAAAGUAAACCAGUCAUUGCAAAGACCAAGUAUGACAGA
rnacentral:lncRNA from 1 species